CACUGCUAACUUCACGUUGCUUCACAGUAGCUAAUGGACGGGUGAGGUAUUUAUUCGUUAACCUGCGAUGUCGAGUUGAUUUUUAAUCUGCAGUUCACUCUCGAAGGCCAUUUUUUAAUCGGACCAGAGUGCUAAAUAUGGCCAGCAAAGUAUGGCAUGCAGAAUUAUGGAAGUCAUGGGAUAAGCAUGGAAGAAACGAUUUCUUCAAGCUAUUCAAGCACAAAUUUAAGGAAGGCAACGCACCAGAAUGGAGACGAGGGUUAUACGAGUUAAUAUCAAAUGGGGUCCAUGGGAACAUAAAAAAGGACAGUGUGGUUCAGACAUUAGGUGAACUGACGAAUUUUGAUAGUGCAGUACCAUCGGUAAUAGUAGACAUAUUUACGUUGAUUGAUGCAGAAACUCAUAAUGAAGAAAGAAACAACUUUUACUACAUUGUAAAAGAAUCAGAGAAGUUUUUGACAGAUAGAAUAUUGAAAGAACGUCUAGAGAUUGAAACUUUGCAAGAUGUGGGGACACUGAAGAACAAAAAUUUCCAAUCGAAAUUCAUAAAAGUGAAAACGAAGUUGUAUUACAAGCAGAGGAAAUUUAAUCUAUUUCGCGAAGAAAGCGAGGGCUAUUCUAAGCUUAUUGUGGAAUUAAAUCAAGAACGUCUGGACAGCGAAGUGGCUUCGACGUUGGAAAUAGUUAAAUCUCUUAUCGGCUAUUUCAAUCUUGAUCCUAAUAGAGUCCUCGACAUUUUGCUGGAAACCUUUGAAAAUCGAUCGCAAGAUGAUGCUCUGUUUAUUCCCUUAAUACGCUCAUAUAUGAGCGAUCAGCAGGUUCUUUGCGAGGUCUUAGGUUUCAAAUACUGCUCCACUAUCAACGCUACGCCGUUCUCGCUGCAAAAGGUUACCGCGCUUAUGCUACAGCAUGGCGUGAUUAAAUUGGACGAUAUAUUACCUUGGCUAGUGCCAGAUGACAAAACAAUCAUAUCGGACCAUGAGCAGGCGAUGAAGCAAGCCAAGGAGUACGUGCGGAAAUUGAGCGUUAUCUCAACGAAGGAUAAGGAGGACGUGGAAGAGAAGGAUAAUCAACAAGACAAAUAUGCAAGCAAUCAAAAAUUUGGAUUAUGCGAAGCCCUUCUGGAAAUUGGAGCUUGGGAGGUGGCGCAAAGCUUAUUCAAUCGUUUGCCGGAAUAUUGUCUUGCGGAUCAGCGUCCCAUAGCUUUAGCGUUAUGCAAAAUGAUCCAGGCUCUCGUCGAACCUGUGUACAGAAAGCACUGUAUCGUUUCCCCAAAAUUGCCGGGCCGUAAAGUGCCUCCGUUGAAAAGCUCCCUCGCGCCGCCAUUGAUGCACAAUCUGGAGGAUAUUCACAAUCAUUUGUUACCAAUGCUGAUUGUGCUCGGUCCGAAUCUGCAUCACGAUCCCAUUCUGAUGUAUAAAGUGAUGAGGCUGUGUCACACCGUUAUCAAGCACUGUCCGCUCGACGCGAGCAAGCAGCCGUUGAACAAGAACUGCAACCUGUACUACGACGUGCUGACGAUUCUUGACGUCGCGCUGCUGCCCUCACUCUCCUUCAUGGACUGUAACUGCUGCGUCGCCGAGGAAAUGUGGAACAUCCUCAAGUACUACCCUUAUCAGAACCGUUACUGUCUGUACGCGCGCUGGAAGAACGACACGCCGCUGCAGCACGCCGCGCUGCUGCGGAAACGCGCGGAUGCCCAGAAGAAAAUCAAGUCGAUCAUGAAACGCGUGAGCAAGGAGACGAUCAAGCCGGUCGGCCGUUCUAUAGGCAAGCUUACGCAUUCUUCGCCAGGUGUGCUGUUUGAUUAUGUCCUUAUACAGAUUCAACUGUAUGACAACCUCAUAGGACCCGUAGUAGACUCCUUAAAAUAUUUGACAAACAUUUCGUACGACGUAUUAGGAUAUUGUCUUGUGGAGGCACUAGCAGGUGCUGACAGAGAUAGAUUUAAGCACGACGGCACCAGUAUAUCCUUGUGGCUGCAAUCUCUAGCAUCUUUCUGCGGAGCGAUAUUUAAGAAGUAUAACAUCGAAUUAACAGGGUUGUUACAGUACGUAGCAAAUCAACUUAAAGCUCAAAAGAGCCUAGAUCUAUUAAUAUUAAAAGAAAUAGUACAAAAGAUGGCUGGCAUCGAAGCAGCCGAGGAAAUGACGUCCGAUCAGUUGGACGCAAUGGCAGGCGGAGAUCUGUUAAAAAAUGAGGCCGGUUACUUCAGUCAAGUUCGCAACACAAAGAAAUCCUCGCAGCGUUUAAAAGAAGCUCUCGCCGAGCACGAUCUCGCGGUCGCUUUGUGUUUGCUGAUGGCGCAACAAAAGCAUUGCGUCGUUUACAGGGAAACGGAUAAAUCUCAUCUGAAACUUGUCGGCAAGUUGUACGAUCAGUGCCAAGAUACGUUGGUACAAUUUGGUACGUUCCUGGGGUCCACCAUGACGGUGGAUGAGUACGUGGAACGGUUGCCCUCGAUUCACUCUAUGCUCCAGGACAAUCACAUACACGCGGAUGUUGCGUUUUUCCUGGCGAGGCCGAUGUUCGCGCACGCCAUAAAUAUAAAGUAUGACGCCCUUCGUAAAGCUGAUCCAAAUUACAAGAAAAUGUCCACGAGUAUCAAACAAUUAAAGUAUGCAGAAGCCGCGCAAACCGUUAUGGCACCCGUCGCCCAAUCUGUCAGACCAUUGCACCCUCUAAAAGUGUGGGAAGACAUAUCGCCACAAUUCUUAGUCACCUUUUGGUCUUUGUCAAUGUACGAUUUGUAUGUGCCAGUGGAAAGUUAUCAAAGAGAAAUCAAUAAGCUGAAGCAGCUCGCGGCACAAACCGCCGAUUCCAAAGAUAUGAACGUAAGUAAAGGGAAGAAGGAACAGGAGAGAUAUACUACUCUUAUCGAGAAGCUGCAAGACGAAAAAAGAAAGCAAGACGAACACGUAGAGAAAGUGUUUGCGUACCUGAGACAAGAAAAGGAUACUUGGUUUUUGUCGCGUAGCGCCAAAUCUGCGAAGAACGAGACGAUAACGCAAUUCUUACAGUUGUGUCUAUUCCCGCGGUGUACAUUCACAACUGUGGACGCUAUGUACUGUGCGAAAUUUGUACAUACUAUUCACUCCCUGAAGACUGCAAAUUUUUCAACCCUGCUUUGUUACGAUCGCCUUUUCUGUGAUAUUACAUAUUCAGUCACAUCGUGCACCGAAAACGAAGCGAAUCGAUAUGGCAGAUUUUUGUGUGCCAUGCUGGAGACUGUGAUGAGAUGGCAUUCCGAGAAGGCCAUAUUUGAUAAGGAAUGCAGCAAUUAUCCUGGAUUUGUAACCAAGUUUCGCGUAAGCAAUCAGUUUUCCGAAGCAAACGAUAUGGUCGGAUUUGAAAAUUACAGACACGUAUGUCACAAGUGGCACUACAAGAUCACAAAGGCUAUUGUGGUAUGCCUAGAUUCUAAAGAUUAUGUGCAGAUAAGGAAUUCCUUGAUAAUAUUAAUCAAGAUAUUGCCGCACUUUCCUGUCUUGGCAAAACUCUCGCAGAUUCUUGAGAGGAAGGUGGAGAAGGUAAGAGAGGAAGAGCGUGGCCAGCGUCAGGACUUACACGUGCUUGCUACGUCGUAUAGCGGCCAGCUGAAAGCCAAGACUCCCAGUAUGAUACGUGAAUCCGACUUUCAUCACGUGGGCGACAAGACUGGAAAAACACAAGACACUACAAACAAUGACUCGAACGAAAAGGUCAGUAACGGCGUUGCUGCAAAAGAGAUUAAUAACGGCGAUACUCGCCCGGAAAAGGAGAAUAAGGAGCAACGAGAAAAACGAAGCUCAUCCAAUCAGACGCAUCACAAUAUCAAUUCUUUGAACAGCGAAAGCUCAGAAAAAAUCCGGAAAAAAGAGGAUGCUAAAGAUGUGUCAGAAACAAAAGAAAAAUACGUCAAGAAGGAAGAAGUAAAAGACGAUGAAGGAUUAGAUAAAAAGGAUCGCAAGUAUUAUAAGGAAGAGCACUAUUACAGCGGUAGUGUAGAUAAUUUAGAUCGAGAUCUUUCAAGUGUCUCAAAUAGUAGUGCUAGCUCAGGCCCCACGCAAGAAGGUCCUGACAGAGAUGCAAAGAGGAGAAAAGUAGAAAGCACCCCAAAGCAGGAAGGAAGGCGUGCAGAAGCUGUUCUCGACAAGAAAGAACGUUCCAGCAAGGGAAAAACGCGUGACGAGCAAAAGGAACUUCGCAGAGAAAAGAAACAGGGGCGAAAGAGGCAGGAUCGAACUGAGGAAUCUGUAGCAACCACCGAACAGAAACGGAGAAAAGAUGACGAAAGAGCCAAAGGCGCACAUCAGAACGGUGACAUUCCUGAACACAGAGAGAAGCAUCAUUACAAUAAGUUGAUAAAGACGUCUACUUCGAGUACAUUAAAAGGACGAAAUGGACGGCAAUAGCAAAAACAAGAACAUAUAGGAAAAAUCUCCAUAUGCAAAGGAUCGUCCGCAUGAACGGGAAGGACGCGAAAGCCGUGAUAAACACAGAAGGAGUUCAGACCCGAAACGAAGAUGAUGUACAACGGAAAAGAGCUCGACUUAACAUUUUCUAUACUAUGUUUGGUGUUGCAUGUAAUGAACUCGUAGAAUUCGAAAUAAAGCAAAAAAAUAGUGAACAAUUUGUAUAUUAUGUUCUAACAUCCAAUUUUAUAAAAUAAACCAUCUGAAUGUCCAAUGUU